rnacentral:rRNA from 1 species
UACAGAGGGUGCGAGCGUUGUUCGGAAUUAUUGGGCGUAAAGGGCGCGUAGGCGGUUGAGUAAGUCACCUGUGAAAUCUCCCGGCUCAACUGGGGAGCUUGCAGGCGAAACUGCUUGACUGGAGUGUGGGAGAGGUGCGUGGAAUUCCCGGUGUAGCGGUGAAAUGCGUAGAUAUUGGGAGGAACACCAGUGGCGAAGGCGGCUCACUGGACCGGUUCUGGACGCUGAGGCGCGAAAAGCGUGGGGAGCAAACGGG